rnacentral:rRNA from 1 species
UGGGGAAUCUUGCACAAUGGGCGAAAGCCUGAUGCAGCGACGCCGCGUGCGGGAUGAAGGCCUUCGGGUUGUAAACCGCUUUCAGCAGGGACGAGGCGAAAGUGACGGUACCUGCAGAAGAAGCCCCGGCUAACUACGCGCCAGCAGCCGCGGUAAUACGUAGGGGGCAAGCGUUAUCCGGAUUCAUUGGGCGUAAAGCGCUCGUAGGCGGUCUGUUAGGUCGGGAGUUAAAUCCGGGGGCUCAACCCCCGUUCGCUCCCGAUACCGGCAGACUUGAGUUUGGUAGGGGAAGGUGGAAUUCCUAGUGUAGCGGUGGAAUGCGCAGAUAUUAGGAAGAACACCAGUGGCGAAGGCGGCCUUCUGGGCCAUAACUGACGCUGAGGAGCGAAAGCUAGGGGAGCAAACAGGAUUAGAUACCCUGGUAGUCCUAGCCGUAAACGAUGGACACUAGGUGUGGGGGAAUAUUUCUUCCGUGCCGCAGCUAACGCAUUAAGUGUCCCGCCUGGGGAGUACGGCCGCAAGGCUA